rnacentral:rRNA from 1 species
CGGGGAAUAUUGGGCAAUGGGCGCAAGCCUGACCCAGCGACGCCGCGUGGGUGAUGAAGGCCUUCGGGUCGUAAAGCCCUGUCGGGUGGAAAGAACGAGGAUUGGGCCAAUAGCCCAGUUCUGUGACGGUACCACCGAAGGAAGCACCGGCCAAUUCCGUGCCAGCAGCCGCGGUAAGACGGAAGGUGCAAGCGUUGCUCGGAAUCACUGGGCGUAAAGGGUGCGUAGGCGGCUUGGUGGGUCUGGUGUGAAAGCCCCGGGCUCAGCCCGGGAAGGGCGCUAGAAACUGCCGAGCUCGAGUGCCGGAGGGGAGAGUGGAAUUCCUGGUGUAGCGGUGAAAUGCGUAGAUAUCAGGAGGAAUACCGGUGGCGAAAGCGACUCUCUGGACGGUAACUGACGCUGAGGCACGAAAGCGUGGGGAGCAAACAGG